AGCAGCUAGCUUUAACACACACAAACCCUAAACUCCCAAAAGCUAAACCUAAAAUCGAUCUAUCGCAGCUUAUUCCUAAAUUCCUAAAUUCCUAAACCUGAUAUCGAUCGUGCCGCCUAAAUUCCUAAACCUAAAAUCGCUCUCAGUCUCUCCCUCUCGUCUGGUUACAAAGUCUGGUUACAAAGUAUGGAGCAGGAAAUCUAAACUAGAAACCAACAUAGUUGCAUUUGGGGGUGUGGCGGUGGGAGGAGUUGCGAUUGGCGGUGGGAGGAGUUGCGAUUGUGAGUACAAAGUAUGGAGCAGGAAAUACAUAUUAUUUGAAGCUUUCGAGAUAGAAGAUACGAGUACAAAGGACUUAAUAAGGCCUGGAAAGGAAAAUUGUCUGAAGCCAAAGCUACUGGAAAUUCUAUUAAAAUCCAAGAGGCACAGGUAUGGAAAAUUCAUAUGCUUGUUUGAGCGUUUGUAUACAAUAAGCAUCACACCAUGUUGAGGAUGAUUGUUGAUACUGACUUUGAACCUUGAAACUUGCGUUGUUGUUUGCUUACUGCUCUUUAUGAUUCGUUACAACUUGCUCAUAAGUGCAUUCUUAAUUCCUUUUAUGGAUAUGUCAUGCGCAAGUGAGUUAUAUAGUGAUUUCCUUUUUUUCCUAACUACAAAAUAUAUAUACCUUUUACUAAUGCUUUUCCUGGUCUUACAGGGGUGCACGAUGGUACUCUAUGGAAAUGGCUGGAGUGGUUAUAUAGUGGUUACCUUUUAUUAAUUUAUUCAUUUAGAAAAAAAGAAACAGAAAGCGAAUUUGCAAAGGAGCAAUUUAAGCUUGAUUGUUUGACAAAAACCUGCUACUAACACUUUUCUCUUAACAGACCUUGACAGAUCCCUUGGCCAAAUCUUAUACAACUCAUAGUGAAUGCUCAAUUGAAUUUGAAGUGGAUGGGCCAUACAAGGCGAAGAACGGCAGCUCAGGCAGAUUCGACAACGCGUGACAAAUCAGCUACUGCUGCGGUGAAGCUUCAGAAGCUUUAUAGGGGUUAUCGCAUACGGUGUAGGUUAGGGGACACUGUCGUUUUGUGGCGGAAGAGCUCUAGUAAAGUUCAUGAAAUCUCACUCUCUUUUUCUCUGUUUUCAGUUCAAAGAGUAGGAUUAUUUUAGCUAGCUUUUCUUUUUAUGGAAAAUAAUAAUGUGCUGAUAUGGUAUUUAAUACAUAUAUAUUGUGUGUGACUUAUUUGGUUUCAUUGGUUUGGAUUUGAGGAUUGAGGAUAAUGAAAAAAGUUGAGAGCUUUCUCAACAGAUUUAAAUGUGCUAUGGAUUUCUACAAAUCUUAAAUAAGAUUUUUUUAAAAAAAAUUAUAAAUAUAUAUAAACUAUUUGGAUGAUUUCAAUUAUAUACACUAUAAAUUUAUAGAUUCUUUGGUUUUGGUUUCAGUUGGAUUAGAGAGAAGUGCUUUCGAAUGGGAGAACUUGAAAUAAGUAGCUCCACAGAUUAUAUUCUUUUCGUUUCUUUCUAUUGUUUGAUCUGUGGAUGGUUUGACUUGAUUAUUUCUCUUUCUAUUGUUUUCGUUUCAUUAUGGAAUUGUAAGGUAGCUGCUAUGUGCUAGGCAUUUUGAAAGUUAGCCCAUUUUAUCUUUUAAUGAAAAUGUCUGUUUCACAAUUUUUUAAUGGAAUUUAUACCCUUAAAAACCUGAAACACCUGCUGAAAGGUGGAAUCGUGUUAGCGUAAAUGCUUCUAAGGUAUGAUUUAUUUAUUUGGUUAAGGCUACAUUGGGUUUGGGUAGAUUAAACAUAACAAUUUGAGGGAAUAUAUUGGUGGGUUUUGAAUUUUUCUUGUCCUUUGCCUACUAAAAUCUGGUUCUUUGGCCUUUACAGUUGUGGAAUGGCUUUGGCAGUUGUAGAUUUUGGUACAAUGUCGCUCGAUUGUGGCUUUCGAUUGCAGCGGCUAUGUUGCGGCUUAGUAGAUUUUUAUUGAGAUUUUUUAGCACCAAGAACUACCCAUGUGGAGUUUGAUACACGGAAUAGUUGGUCAAGUCAGGCGCAACUACCUGCAGCGGAUGAUUUCUCUAUUGCUAUGGAAGAUGCAGCCCCUUCCCUUCCCUUGGUGUUCUCUUAUCUGGUGUAGUAAUUUUACAAGUUGCUAUCUCGAAGGAUUUACUUGUUUACUUGCUAUCUAGAAGUUGCUAUCUGGAAGGAUUUACUUGCUAUCUGGUUUAGGUGUUUACCUUCACAACCCGACAGCCCUUAUUGCAAUCGUAUACCCUUCAUGAUCUGGUCAAUUGGUGUUGUGAGAGUCCACACCAAUGGCAUCACAAGAGGGCUCAAUCUAUUGUAUAGCAAAUAUAAAAUGUUUGGGGAAAUACUAAUAGAUUGGUCGGAUAUAAGCCAACAUCCAACAUUGAUUUGAUUUUUAUAGAUUUGUGUAUGUUAUAAAUUUUAAAUUAUGUUAGAGAUUUUGUAUUAUCAACAAUUUACUUGUUGAAUUGUGUAUAUAUAUAUAAGUUAUUAAUUCUAUUAAAGUGAGUUUUGCUAUUUUAAUUAUUCUACAAAUAUAUAAUUAGAAAUUCUGCAUUAAUGGAAUAAUUAAAAUUAAAUAUUAAAUAUAAAUUUAGUUCGAAAAUCACAUAUAAUUCAAUUCAAAUUUAUUUUGCAACAAAAUUUCAGUAGCAAAAUUAUUAUAUUUUUAAGUACUAAAGUUGUAUUUGUUACCAAUUUUAAAGUGAUUUGCUACCAAAAUGUAGUAGCAAAAAAGUUUUAGUAGUUUUUCAAAGUAAUUAUUUUGCUACUACAUUUGACAUUUUUUGCUACAAAAA